rnacentral:rRNA from 1 species
UUACCUGGCCUUGACAUUGAUAGAAUCUGGUAGAGAUACUGGAGUGCUAGCUUGCUAGAACUUGAAAACAGGUGCUGCACGGCUGUCGUCAGCUCGUGUCGUGAGAUGUUGGGUUAAGUCCCGCAAUGAGCGCAACCUCGUCGUUAGUUGCUAACAGUUAGGCUGAGAACUCUAACGAGACUGCCUUCGUAAGGAGGAGGAAGGUGAGGACGACGUCAAGUCAUCAUGGCCCUUACGGCCAGGGCUACACACGUGCUACAAUGGGGUAUACAAAGAGCAGCGAUACGGUGACGUGGAGCAAAUCUAGAAAAUGCCUCUCAGUUCGGAUUGUAGUCUGCAACUCGACUACAUGAAGUUGGAAUCGCUAGUAAUCGUAGAUCAGCAAUGCUACGGUGAAUACGUUCCCGGGUCUU